UGGGGAAUUUUGGACAAUGGGCGCAAGCCUGAUCCAGCCAUGCCGCGUGCGGGAAGAAGGCCUUCGGGUUGUAAACCGCUUUUGUCAGGGAAGAAAUCUUCUGAGUUAAUACCUCGGGAGGAUGACGGUACCUGAAGAAUAAGCACCGGCUAACUACGUGCCAGCAGCCGCGGUAAUACGUAGGGUGCAAGCGUUAAUCGGAAUUACUGGGCGUAAAGCGUGCGCAGGCGGUUUUGUAAGACAGAGGUGAAAUCCCCGGGCUCAACCUGGGAACUGCCUUUGUGACUGCAAGGCUUGAGUGCGGCAGAGGGGGAUGGAAUUCCGCGUGUAGCAGUGAAAUGCGUAGAUAUGCGGAGGAACACCGAUGGCGAAGGCAAUCCCCUGGGCCUGCACUGACGCCCAUGCACGAAAGCGUGGGGAGCAAACAGGAUUAGAUACCCUGGUAGUCCACGCCCUAAAACGAUGUCAACUGGUUGUUGGGAAGGUUCCUUCUCAGUAAACGUAGCUAACGCGUGAAGUUGACCGCCUGGGGAGUACGGCCGCAAAGG
rnacentral:rRNA from 1 species